UAGUGAAUGGAAGAAGCCCUGUGAGUGAAAGUUUGAGAGAAAAAUGUACACAUAUUUAGCGCCACUCUUCUAAUGCUUUCCAAUCAACGUAACCACCUCUUUAAAAGACACACACGAGGCAGACAUUCGACUCCUUGCUCUACGCUCAAGGAAGAGUCUAAAUUGGAUUUAUUCUCCUGGCCAGACUUUCCGGCUGGCUAGAAUGCGAGUAAAAUGGCCGGAUAUUACUUCUGAAUGUGCUUUUUCAAAACGACUCAAACCCACAUCUUGAUUAACUGAGUCAAAUGAAAGAGCACUGUGCUACAUGGAUGUAUCUUCAAUUAGACUUUUUGGCACAAGCCGCAGUGAAGCCAGGCAACGAAGAAUGAAAUAAAAAUAGCAGCACAAAUUUGGCGGGAUAUCGUGACUGAUCGAUACAAGUUGUAAAAUAAACAAAGGGAUUUCCUCGUCUAGAGAUAAGAAACUCA